AGGCCUUUUUCAAAAGACACUUCCACCUCCUAAUCCCUGUGCCUACAAACCAAAUAUUGAUCUAUUUAGUAAACCAGCCUGUGGGAGGAGAGAUUGUAAAGCCCUGUUUACUCAGCAGUUGGGCCCCCCUGACAGCUGUUCAAUGGGGGAUUAUGAUGUCACAGUGGUAAUUACACUAUAAACAAGGGAUGGGGGAGAAUAAAGCAUGAAAGGAAACUGUGGGGCUCGUUACCAGGCAACACAAAAUAUGUAACCUGAAACCCGACAAGCAUGUAAAUUUCCUUGCAAGCCUCCCAGAUGUCCUCACUUUAGGGCCAACAGUCAGUUUCAGUUUCAAUUUGUUUAUUUGUCCUUCUUCAGUCACAAAUGUGGAGCUGAGAAUGUUGGAAGAGAGAAGAGAAAGCAAAGAAAAAUGGGACGAAGAGGCCUUUUGCUUUCUUCCUGGGAUGUAAGCGGCAGGGAGAAAGCUAAGAGGCUUGGUCUUCUCUCUUUAGAAACAGUGAUUUCACUGUUUAGAAUGGCAUCAUGCUGAAGUGCUGUGUAAUGUUCCUAAAUGCAAGAAGGCUGUGAUGUGCCUUAUGGAGAAAACAUGCACGUUAGAGAGCCGGAAGUUAGAUCGAAAGGUUUGGUUAUAUUCUAGCUAAAAGUCUGUGGCAAGAAUACGUUAUAGAAUUUUUAGGACAAGGAUGACAGGACUAUGGCUCAUCGGGUGAGGACAACUUAGCGCCAAU
rnacentral:lncRNA from 1 species